rnacentral:sRNA from 1 species
AUUGCACGCGUACACAUUCUAUUGGCUCUGUUCGUUGAGACAACGCUACCUAAUGUAGUUACUUUGCGUGGGUGUGCUUUUGUGUAUAUUGCUAAGAACAUUUAAGACUUAUUCUCCAUAAAUUUAAAUUAUGUAAUGUGGCAUUUUGAACACUAUGAGGCCAACAAAAGGCAAACAUUUUCUAAGUCCUUUGCCUUACUAGAAAAUAGAUUUAUUAUGUUUCCAAACUCAACAAUGUUCCCUUCAACUCCACAUUAUUGCAUGAGAGAGUAAAAUAGUCUAAAGUAUAGGAGAGGACACCAGAAUAAGAGGACAGAGUAAAGGAAGCCUGUGUAGAAUCACUUUCCUACAUUCCUGGAGGCGUAGAGCUUCUCUUCUGUGGGUGGUAAUUUUCCCUUGGACACUGGAGCGUGGAUAGUUAAGAGUCCUCAUAGCUCAAAGCUGGUUUUAUCCAAACAGAUCAGAAAAACUUUGUGUCCCUUGGGAACAGUUUUACAAUCUUAGCUAUUUGGUAAGCCUAACAGGUGGCUUGCUCUAUGUCUGUGACAACAUCUAAAAGUCCUUAGAUGAGCUGAAAGAGCAAUGGCCACAGUGCAGUCACCUCCUGACAAGUCCCAUUGAAGCUUGAACAACUUUUGAAACUCACAUCUGUCCUCCUCUCUGUCUACUUUUCUCUUUGAGUCUCUUUCAUCGUAUUCUGAACAGUAACCUGUGACCUGCUUUCUGAUAGUUUCUGAUAUACAUUCACCUGCAUUUUCUGUUUCUUUCCUCUCCAUUUCCCUUUGUAUAUAGCUUUUUGCUUGAGCAAAUUUUUGUUUCAAAUCACAGAAAAAGAUGAAAGUGCAUAGCAUUUUUUCUCCAACUGAAGAAAUAUUAAGGGAAACUAAAUUUUAAGUGGGUUCCUGGGGAACACCUAAAUGUCUUUAUCUAUGGCACCUGUUCUCUCUUCUUGUAGCUUUGGAAAAUGAUGAAAAUAUUGACUGAAAUAGCACAACAAUAAUUGGUGAAAUCCUUUUAUAGGCAUUCAUCUUCGAAUUUUACUUUGUAACUCCCCUAUUAUAAAUUGUGGCAUUCUUUUGUCUUUCUUGAUUCUGUGUCACUGAUCAGUUUUCUGUCUGCUUAUCUGUAACUAAAACUAAAAAUGUUCCACGAGGUAGGUCGAUGACAUCACUCACACAUUAUCACCUAGGUAAUGGAAUGAUUACUAUAGCAACAGAGCCUUUAUCUUCCAGUGCCCACAACAUUUUGACAGAUGGGAAAGACUGAAGAUUUAAAACAGGACUUAAAAGUAUUAUAACUUGGUGGCCAUAUCAUGACAGCAGCCUCUUUCUGAUGAGUGAAAGAAAGAAUUACAGUCGACAGCAUGACCACCAGAUCCAGUGUAAAAAUGGUCCCAACUCAGGGUUUGAGGACAGAAGUAAAAGUAGGCAAAGGAAAGCAUGUUGUUCCAGAAUUUGUUAGAAAACUUGAAAUAAAAGAAAAAGCCUAAAAUAUUCUGGAGAAAGAAAAAUAAGUUACAAAGGAAGAGUUACGGUCCACAUCACCUGUAUAAUACUUGGUAGCUGGGCAACCUCGGUGAUUCGCGUGGGCUGGCAUUGUGUUUAUCAAUUUAUACUUGAGAAAAUCAGAAGCACAAGUCCACAUAUACAUGAACAUACUGAUGUCUAUCUAUGCCUCAGUGGGCCUUCUCUUAAAGGUCACAUUUACACAGCUGUAAGUUCAUGAGAGAAUCCAGAGAGGAGUUCUCAUUCUGCUCGUUCCAAUAUAGGAAAGACGUCCUUUGUUGAAAUCUGCCUGGACACUGCUUACGGGGAAGAAGAGUGAUGAUAGUGAGUUGUCAGCUGGUUUCUGUUGGACUACAGCAAGAAACAUGUGUGGGAAUAUACAUUUGCAUUGCCUAUGUGCGUGCUUUAUGCAUAGUUAUCAUUCUGUAAAAGAAGAAAAGUUAUGGAAAUUAGCAUUUCCUAUUGAUAUAAGAUGUGGGCCAUGGCAAUGACUUCUCUCAGAUCCUUGUGCAGAGAAGCAUGAAAUCUUCAGGAUGGAUGCUUGAAAGGUAAAUGAAAUAAAUGGGCAUUGAAAUCUAGAUGGAGCUGAAGAAAUGGAAUCUUUCCAUUUUCUUUCUUUCUGAGUGAGCUCCUGUUUGAAUCAGUUAUCAACAAACUUUGCAUGUAUCACUUCAGACUGAGGUGGACACAUUAUGAUACUUAGUCAUCACUAAAACUCUUAUCAACUAGAGAAAGGCCAUAGAUGCAAAGAGAAAUUAACUUUUUCUUACAUUUUCUUACAGGAAUAAUAGUGACUAAUCUCUCUAUCAGUAUUCAAGGAAUCUGCGGAAAUUCACACUGAACAGAAUUGUCAAUGACUACAACCAAGAAAGCAUGCUACAAGAUGUGGAACCUGGAUCUAUCAAUUUUUUAAAGAUUAUUUCUCAAUAAAUUUGUUUUCAUUCACUUUAUAUCUCAAUCACAGCCCCCCUCCCUCCUCUCUUCCAGCCCCACCCACAUGUACCACCACUUCCCUCAUUACCUCCUUCCCUUCUACUCAAAGAAUGGGUAAACUCCCAUGGGUAAUAAUUUGUCCUGGCACAUCAAACCCCAGCAGGACUAAGAGGAUCCUCUUCCACUGAGGCCAGUCAAGGUAGCCCAGCUACAAGAAAGUGAUCCAAAGGCAGACAGCAUCAUCAGAGACAGCACCCCGCCAUUGCUAUGCAACUCACAUGAAGACCAAGCUGCACAUCAGCUGCAAGGUGUAGGGAACCUAUGUCCAGUUCAUGCAUGUUCUUUGGUUGGUUGUUUAGUCUCUGUGAACCCCCAUGGACAAAGGUUAUUUGACUCUCUAGGUCUUCUUGUGGUGUCUCUGACUUCCUGAAUCCUUUCCUCAACUCUUCUACAAGUCUCCCUGAGCUCAGCCUAAUGUGUGGCUGUGGGUCUCUGCAUCUGUUUCGAUCAGCAGCUGGACGAAGCCCCUCAGAAGACAGUUAUGCUAGGCUCCUUUCUGCAUUCACACAAAUAUUAACAGUGUCAGGCCUUAGCUCUCUCCCAUAAAUCUUAAUAAGCCAGACCUCCUCUGCACAAGAUAUAUGAGUCUGUACAAGGCAAAAGAGGUUUAGUGGAAUGAAUGUUGACUGUUAGAUGUAAAUAUUCUUGAGUAUCAUUUGAGAGUUCUUUUCUGCAAUGAUAAAAUAGAACUGUAUUGCUUUUGUUGGGCAAGCCUUGCCAGCUUCCAUGUAGACUCUGCCACUGAAUUACAGGCACCUUCCUGAGAUAAUUUGUAAUGACUGAUUUAACAAGAUUGAUAUACAACACCAAAUGUAUGAAAGCUGCAAUUGCCUGCAUGCGACAACGUGUAUUUCCCCCACACAGGAUGAGGUUCAUUUGGCAAUUAACCCACUAUUUUAUCAAUAUGUGUCAUAUCAUGGUUCACAGACUUUCCAUAUUAAAACACUAAAACCUUUAUGGAAAAUGCUUAUCAAAUUUUGAAAGCAAACCUGCAAAGAUAAAAACAAGGACAAAACAAAACAAACCUCCUGAAGGUCAUUUGAUCUUUAAUGCCUAACUUUAUGAUAAGAACAAGUUUCUGUCUCCCAUUUCCCUUCAAACUGAAUCAGUACAUGCCAUCUGGCUCACCUUUCAUGUUUUAUUGAUGUCUUUCAUUGUUGAUGUCAAAAGUACAAGGACUUUUUAAAUUUAAGAUUAUACCUCUUUAUGUAAUGAUGAGGCUAAAUGGCUCUGAUUAUUUAAUUGCGAGGAAUGGUGUGCAACUCCCAUGCCCUCUUCAUAAAUUGGGUGAGGAAAAUACUUCAAACAAGUGGAAAACAUCAAUUAAUCCUAUUUUUAUAUUUAUCUUAUUGAAACUUAGUCCAGGAAGUUUGCUGCUUGAAUGCCCCCUCUGAAUUAGUCAAAUGGGAAAAGUUUACCCUCAGUAUGGUUUGUUAUUUUUCAAAUGUUACAAUAAACAAAUGCAAAGUUGACACAAUAUAAGAAAUAGAAAAGAAUCCUUUAAGACGUUUACUUAAAAAUAGUUCAUUUAAUACUCUUGCAUGAUUUUCUCUUUUGAAAACAUGUUUCAUUAAAUCUAGGACACAAGUUACCUUGAAGAAACUGAGGGAUUUAUCCUCAAGUUGGGACAUCAGUUUGAAAUUGUUGGAAAACUAGCUUCUGAGAGUUGGCCAUUGUUUAACGUGAAUACCAACAUUUCUUUAUUAUUGUUUUUAUCCUU